CCCGCUGAACUUAAGCAUAUCAAUAAGCGGAGGAAAAGAAACUAACAAGGAUUCCCCUAGUAACUGCGAGUGAAGCGGGAUGAGCUCAAAUUUUGAAUCUGGCGGUCUUUGGCCGUCCGAGUUGUAAUCUAGAGAAGCGUCUUCCGCGCUGGACCGUGUACAAGUCUCCUGGAAGGGAGCGUCAUAGAGGGUGAGAAUCCCGUCUUUGACAUGGACUACCAGUGCUAUGUGAUGCGCUCUCGACGAGUCGAGUUGUUUGGGAAUGCAGCUCAAAAUGGGUGGUAAACUCCAUCUAAAGCUAAAUACAGGCGAGAGACCGAUAGCGAACAAGUACCGUGAGGGAAAGAUGAAAAGCACUUUGGAAAGAGAGUUAAACAGUACGUGAAAUUGCUGAAAGGGAAACGCUUGAUGUCAGUCGCGUCGGCCAGGGAUCAACCUUGCUUCUUUGCUGGGUGCAUUUCCUGGUCAACGGGUCAGCAUCAGUUUCGCUCGCCGUACAAUGGCAAAGGGAACGUGGCACUCUUCGGAGUGUGUUAUAGCCUUUCGUCGUAUGCGGUGGUUGGGACUGAGGAACUCGGCACGACUUCGGUCUGUGUCUAGGAUGCUGGCAUAAUGGCCUUAAGCGACCCGUCUUGAAACACGG
rnacentral:rRNA from 1 species